rnacentral:rRNA from 1 species
UUCCGGUUGAUCCUGCCGGACCUGACUGCUAUCGGAUUGAUACUAAGCCAUGCGAGUCCAAGGCAUACGGCUCAGUAACACGUAGUCAACUUACCCUAUGGACGAGGAUAAUCUCGGGAAACUGAGCAUAAUACUCGAUAGAUCAUAAUGCCUGGAAUGGUUUAUGGUUGACGCCAUAGGAUGGGACUGCGGCCUAUCAGCUUGUUGGUGAGGUAAUGGCCCACCAAGGCGAUUACAGGUACGGGCUCUGAGAGGAGAAGCCCGGAGAUGGGUACUGAGACAAGGACCCAGGCCCUAUGGGGCGCAGCAGGCGAGAAAACUUUGCAAUGUGCGAAAGCACGACAAGGUUAAUCCGAGUGAUUCACUAGUGAAUAAGGGGUGGGCAGGUGUCAGCCGCCGCGGUAAAACCAGCACCUCAAGUGGUCAGGAGGAUUAUUGGGCCUAAAGCAUCCGUAGCCGGCUCUGUAAGUUUUCGGUUAAAUCCAUGUGCUCAACGCAUGGGCUGCCGAAAAUACUGCAUAGCUAGGGAGUGGGAGAGGUAGACGGUACUCGGUAGGAAGGGGUAAAAUCCUUUGAUCUAUCGAUGACCACCUGUGGCGAAGGCGGUCUACCAGAACACGUUCGACGGUGAGGGAUGAAAGCUGGGGGAGCAAACCGGAUUAGAUACCCGGGUAGUCCCAGCUGUAAACGAUGCAGACUCGAUGAUGCAUUGGCGCCAGUGCAGUGUCGCAGGGAAGCCGUUAAGUCUGCCGCCUGGGAAGUACGUACGCAAGUAUGAAACUUAAAGGAAUUGGCGGGGGAGCACCACAAGGGGUGAAGCCUGCGGUUCAAUUGG